UCAAACUUACUGAAGAAAGGUUGCAGAGAGAUAAAAAAAGGGAAAAGCUUCAAUCAAUCACUGUACUUGGACAUCCAUAACGGAGAGAGAAAGCAAGGAAGGAAAAAAGAACCAUCUUUCACUUUCCGUGGAAGAUCCCAACUCCAUUUCCUCAUCUGCGCAUUCCAAUUCGCAGCUGCAGUGGGGAUGUCAGGGGUGGGGUUAGGGGUGCAAAAGGGGUGGCGGUAGAGCGAGGGUUUGGUGGCGGCGGCAGUGGUGGUAGGGGUGGAAGAGUGGUGAGGAACCUGGUAAAGGGGAGACCAAUGGACUACUCUGAUGGGGGUUUCAGUGAUGAUGAUGGCGAUGAUAGUGAUGAGGAUGCCGCAGAGGAGGAGCAGGUGAUGGCGGAAGAGAGAGGAAGUGGCCGUGGUGGGGUAUGGGUAUGGAGAAUAAAAAGAUUGAGAUGAUGCAGGAGACAGAGAGGUAUAGGAUGGAUAUGGAGAAGAAGAAGAUGGAGAUGAUUGCUGAAGCACAGAGGAAAAUGGUUGACACAAUCAGAAGGGCGUUCGGAGCUCAUAAACGGGUAAAAAUGGAUCAAGAAUCUUGACAGCAAUUGCUGAAUUCUUUGUGUAAUAAUAACAUGUUGGAGCUCAUAAAAGGGCAAAUAUUGCUCUAGCAAUAUCUUGACCGCAAUUGCUUAAUCGUUUUUCUUAUAUGAGAACAUGGAGGUUGUAAGGGUUGCUGCCAUUGUUGGGCAGUUCGGAGUUCGUAGAAGGGCAAAAAUGGCUGACAGCCAUGGAUUAAGUGGUUGCUUAGUUUGUAUUUUGUAGGGAAGUAUUGAUGUUUAGGUUAUAUCUACUAAUCCAAGCUUAUAUAGUGUUUCUUUCUUUCUGCUCUGUGAUUUAGUUGUUAGGAAUGUAACAGUUUUUAUGUUUUAUAGUUGGUGCUCAAUGAAAACAAAAUUUCCAUCUUCAUC